GUUGUAGCUAUGUAAGUUGGAGGAAAUUAAAUGGCUUCGUAAAUAAGUUUGUUAGUAUGAAUUGUUAAUUUGUUUGUUUGACUAUUUUAUAAUGUAUUUGAGGUGCAUGAUCGAUGAUCACAAAAGUAGAAAAUUUAUUGUUCGGAAACACCAUAAACAAGCAUCGAUAUUGUGAGAAUAUGAACUCAAAUCUUUGAUGUUCUCACAUUUAUUGGCAGUCAAAUUCGA
rnacentral:lncRNA from 1 species